rnacentral:lncRNA from 1 species
CAAUCGCAUUACAAAGAGAAAGCUGGAAUCCAGGCAAAGGACUCUGUUGUUCCAACCCUGUGGUCGAGGCUCUGUCAGGGAAAGUCCUCAUUCAGAGCUGUGGGAGACAUGUGUAGCUUGUGCCUGCCCACUCUCUCUUCUUCAGCCUGAAACCUGAGAGCCUGAAAGAGGCGAGAAGACCAAUGAGGAGACUUUGGAAAUGCCCAGAGGAAAUCAUGAGAGAGCUUCAAGUGGAAGACAAACACAUGUUUUAAAGCCACCACUAUUUUUGCAGUUGCUCCUCAGAUAGAGGUUGAGAGCAUCACAGGAAGACAGGGAGGGAAGACUUCUGUUUUGUUUGGCGAGAAUCCCUCUCAGAGGCUUUUGAAUUAAGCAAAGGGAAGCUAAGGACUCUUCUGAAAAGAUCUUCACUGAGGGGAGGGCCACAUCUCUCUCAAGAUAUUUCUGUGUCAUCAGGGAAGAGAGAAUUCUCCUCUCUCUGGAAGGAAGUAGGAGUUGGAGCUUCAACCCUGAUUUGGGGGAGAGAUGGCUAAAGGCACUACGGACUGUGGGAACCAGGGCAACCCCACAAAACUGUGGCAGGAGAGGAGCGGCACCAGUUGGAGUGCCCAUGAGCAUGACGUAUGUGCUCUGGGAUAUGUGAAGUCCAGGAUUCAGGGUCCAGGUUAUCUUUUCUAUGAAGCAUUUUUCUCCUCUUACCUCCAGGCUGCAGUAAAAGGUUUAGGGCUAAGGCAAUGAGAGAUGUCCAGCAGAGAACUCAGGAGCAGGAGCCCAGAAGAAGACCCUUAGAACAGAUACGGGGAACACGGAAACAUUCCUCAAAGACCCCCAGAAAUAAUUGGCAAGGGCAGCCAGGUGCAAGACUAUAAUUCCACUGGAUCAACUAAGAGAAGAGCUCGAACAAUUGUAAGGCAAUCAUCCAUGUAAGAUGCAGAAUCCCAGGACAUCUGGGUUACAAUGAACUCAACAGAAUUGACUGAGAACCAGUUCUGUAUCCGGAACUAGAAAGACAAUGAUGAGCAAGAUGUUCAUGGUCUUGAGCCUCACACAUACAACAAAUGCUCACUGAAUAUGUGCUUGUUGAUUCCAAUAGAGAUUACAGUCUGUGAAGGUGGCAAACUUUUUCUCUAAAGGGCCAGAUAACAAAUAAUUUCAGCUUUGUGGGUCACGUGGUAGUGGCAUCUACUCAAAUCUACCACUGUAGCGUGAAAGCAGCCGUGGACAAUGCAUAAACAAAUAAGCAUUGCUGUGUUCCAAUAAAGCUUUAUUUAUAGACAUUGAAA